AUUGAACGCUGGCGGCAGGCCUAACACAUGCAAGUCGAGCGAGCGGCGGACGGGUGAGUAAUGUCUGGGAAACUGCCUGAUGGAGGGGGAUAACUACUGGAAACGGUAGCUAAUACCGCAUACCAUCAGAUGUGCCCAGAUGGGAUUAGCUAGUAGGUGGGGUAAUGGCUCACCUAGGCGACGAUCCCUAGCUGGGCUGAGAGGAUGACCAGCCACAGUUGAACUGAGGCACGGUCCAGACUCCUACGGAGGGCAGCAGGGGGGGAUAUUGCACAAUUGGCGCAAGCCUGAUGCAGCCAUGCCACGUGAGUGAAGAAGGCCUUCGGGUUGGAAAGUACUUUCAUCGAGGAGGCGUUACUCGCAGAAGAAGCACCGGCUAACUCCGUGCCAGCAGCCGCGGUGAUAC
rnacentral:rRNA from 1 species